UUUUAAUUGAAGGCUUGUAUGAAAGGUUGAACAAAGAAUAAGCUGUCUUUAUUUUUAUUUUUGAAUUUGCCUUUUAAGUGAAAAGGCUUAAAUAAUUUUAAGGGACGAUAAGACCCUAUAAAUCUUUAUAUAAGAUUAUUUUUAUAUAAAUUUUUAAUGUAAAUGAAAGUAAAAAUAAUAAAUAUUGUGUUGGGGUGAUGAGAAUAAAAAAUAAACUGUUCUAAAUUAAAAACAAAGUUGUUUGAAAUUAUUAAAAGUAGAUCCUUUUUAAAGAUUGAAAGUUUAAGUUACUUUAGGGAUAACAGCGUUAUUUUUCUUGAGAGUUCUAAUCGAAAGAAAAGUUUGCGACCUCGAUGUUGAAUUAAAAUUUCUUUAUAGUGUAGCUGUUAUAAAAGAGAGUCUGUUCGACUUUUAAAAUUUUACGUGAUCU
rnacentral:rRNA from 1 species